rnacentral:rRNA from 1 species
GAACGCUGGCGGCAGGCCUAACACAUGCAAGUCGAGCGGUAACAUUUCUAGCUUGCUAGAAGAUGACGAGCGGCGGACGGGUGAGUAACGCGUAGAAAUCUACCUAGUAGUGGGGGAUAGCCCAGAGAAAUUUGGAUUAAUACCGCAUACGCCCUACGGGGGAAAGCGGGGGAUCUUCGGACCUCGUGCUAUUAGAUGAGUCUGCGUCGGAUUAGCUUGUUGGUGAGGUAAUGGCUCACCAAGGCGACGAUCCGUAGCUGGUCUGAGAGGAUGACCAGCCACACUGGAACUGAGACACGGUCCAGACUCCUACGGGAGGCAGCAGUGGGGAAUAUUGCACAAUGGGCGCAAGCCUGAUGCAGCCAUGCCGCGUGUGUGAAGAAGGCCUUAGGGUUGUAAAGCACUUUCAGCAGUGAGGAAAGGGGUGUCGUUAAUAGCGCCAUCCUGUGACGUUAACCGCAGAAGAAGGACCGGCUAACUCCGUG